rnacentral:rRNA from 1 species
AUUGAACGCUGGCGGCAGGCCUAACACCUGCAAGUCGAGCGAGUGGCGGACGGGUGCGUAAUGUCUGGGAAACUGCCCGAUGGAGGGGGAUAACUACUGGAAACAGUAGCUAAUACCGCAUACCAUCGGAUGUGCCCAGAUGGGAUUAGCUAGUAGGUGGGGUAACGGCUCACCUAGGCGACGAUCACUAGCUGGUCUGAGAGGAUGACAAGCCACACUGGAACUGAGACACGGUCCAGACUCCUACGGGAGGCAGCAGUGGGGAAUAUUGCACAAUGGGCGCAAGCCUGAUGCAGCCAUGCCGCGUGUAUGAAGAAGGCCUUCGGGUUGUAAAGUACUUUCAGCGAGGAGGCGUUACUCGCAGAAGAAGCACCGGCUAACUCCGUGCCAGCAGCCGCGGUAAUUC